rnacentral:rRNA from 1 species
CCUACGGGAGGCAGCAGUGAGGAAUAUUGGUCAAUGGACGAGAGUCUGAACCAGCCAAGUAGCGUGAAGGAUGACUGCCCUAUGGGUUGUAAACUUCUUUUAUAUGGGAAUAAAAUGUUUCACGUGUGGGAUUUUGUAUGUACCAUAUGAAUAAGGAUCGGCUAACUCCGUGCCAGCAGCCGCGGUAAU